rnacentral:rRNA from 1 species
GAUGAACGCUGGCGGCGUGCCUAAUACAUGCAAGUCGAGCGAACAGACGAGGAGCUUGCUCCUCUGACGUUAGCGGCGGACGGGUGAGUAACACGUGGAUAACCUACCUAUAAGACUGGGAUAACUUCGGGAAACCGGAGCUAAUACCGGAUAAUAUAUUGAACCGCAUGGUUCAAUAGUGAAAGACGGUUUUGCUGUCACUUAUAGAUGGAUCCGCGCCGCAUUAGCUAGUUGGUAAGGUAACGGCUUACCAAGGCAACGAUGCGUAGCCGACCUGAGAGGGGGAGCGGCCACACUGGAACUGGGACACGGUCACGACCCCUACGGGAGGCAGCAGUAGGGAAUCGUCCGCAAGGGGCGAAAGCUUGACGGAGAAACGCCGCGUGAGUGAUGAAGGCCUCCGGAUCGUAAAACUCUGUUAUUAGGGAAGAACAAAUGUGUAAGUAACUAUGCACGUCUUGACGGUAACUAAUCAGAAAGCCACGGCUAACUACGUG